rnacentral:rRNA from 1 species
CACGGACCAAGGAGUCUAACAUGUGCGCGAGUCAUUGGGCGUUGCUAAACCCAAAGGCGCAAUGAAAGUGAAGGCGCAACCCCCGUAGGGGGCCGCCGAGGGAAGAUGGCCGUCGCGAACGCGGGCUCUGCCCGGGCGCGGCUCGCAUUCCCGGGGCGUCUCGCUCCUCCUCGCGAGGGGAGGCGCACCCAGAGCGCACACGUUGGGACCCGAAAGAUGGUGAACUAUGCCCGGCCAGGACGAAGUCAGGGGAAACCCUGAUGGAGGUCCGUAGCGAUUCUGACGUGCAAAUCGAUCGUCGGAGCUGGGUAUAGGGGCGAAAGACUAAUCGAACCAUCUAGUAGCUGGUUCCCUCCGAAGUUUCCCUCAGGAUAGCUGGUGCUCGGAGGAGUCUCAUACGGUAAAGCGAAUGAUUAGAGGCCUUGGGGCCGAAACGACCUCAACCUAUUCUCAAACUUUAAAUGGGUGAGACCCCCGGCUUGCUCGGGGCGUGAAGCCGGAGACGGAUCCGGAGUGCCAAGUGGGCCACUUUUGGUAAGCAGAACUGGCGCUGUGGGAUGAACCAAACGCCGAGUUAAGGCGCCCGAAUCGACGCUCAUGGGAAACCAUGAAAGGCGUUGGUUGCUUAAGACAGCAGGACGGUGGCCAUGGAAGUCGGAAUCCGCUAAGGAGUGUGUAACAACUCACCUGCCGAAGCAACUAGCCCUGAAAAUGGAUGGCGCUGAAGCGUCGUGCCUAUACUCGGCCGUCGGAGGCAUUGGGGGCCGCCGACCUCACAAGGGUCGGCGCCCGAAGAAGCCCCGACGAGUAGGAGGGUCGCGGCGGUGAGCGCAGAAGGGCACCGGCGUGAGCCUGCCUGGAGCCGCCGUCGGUGCAGAUCUUGGUGGUAGUAGCAAAUACUCCAGCGAGGCCCUGGAGGACUGAAGCGGAGCAGGGUUUCGUGUGAACAGCCGUUGCACACGAGUCAGUCGAUCCUAAGCCCUAGGCGAAAGCCGAUGCCGAUGGGCGGUCCAGAGACCCGGACUGGCGGACCACCCCCGGCGGGCGAAAGGGAAUCCGGUUCCUAUUCCGGAACCCGGCAGCGGAACCGUUCCGAAAUCGGGCCCUCGCGAGAGUGUUCGUCGGGGUAACCCGAAAGGACCCGGAGACGCCGUCGGGAGAUCUGGGAAGAGUUUUCUUUUCUGCAUGAGCGUUCGAGUUCCCUGGAAUCCUCCCGCAGGGAGAUAGGGUUUGGGACGCGAAGAGCACCGCAGUUGCGGCGGUGUCCAGAUCUUCCCCUCGGACCUUGAAAAUCCGGGAGAGGGCCACGUGGAGCAUUCGCGCCGGCUCGUACCCAUAUCCGCA